rnacentral:rRNA from 1 species
GACGAAGGGGGCUAGCGUUGUUCGGAAUUACUGGGCGUAAAGCGCACGUAGGCGGCCUUUCAAGUCGGAUGUGAAAGCCCCGAGCUUAACUCGGGAACUGCAUUUGAUACUGUUGGGCUAGAGACCGGGAGAGGAUAGCGGAAUUCCCAGUGUAGAGGUGAAAUUCGUAGAUAUUGGGAAGAACACCAGUGGCGAAGGCGGCUAUCUGGACCGGUACUGACGCUGAGGUGCGAAAGCGUGGGGAGCAAACAGG